UAAACACCAGUUUCCAUAUGAUCACUGAGGUUAAGCAAUGUUGUGUUUGGUCAGUACCUAAAUGGGUGAUCGCUUGGGAACAUCAGGUGCUGUAAGC